rnacentral:RNase_P_RNA from 1 species
CCUGCAAAACGUUCUAUCGCUUCAGGCUUGAACUGAAGAGGAAAGUCCGGGCAACGCAGAGCAUCCUGCUUCCUAACAGGAAGGCGCCCGCAGCGGGCGACAGCCAGUGCCACAGAGAAUAUACCGCCCAUAUCCCGAUAGCUAUCGGGAUAUGGGUAAGGGUGAAAACGUGAGGUAAGAGCUCACGGCUUUUCCGGGCGACCGGAAUUGCGGUAAACCUUAGGAGUUGAAAAACCAAAUAGGUUCUGAAAGCGGUGCUGCUCGCACCCGUGUCCUUAGGGAUCGUCAGAAUGGGUAGGUUGAUAGAUCCUGCCGGCAACGGCAGGACCAGAUUAAUGAUAGAAACUCUUACAAGAGUACAGAACCCGGCUUACAGAUUUGCUGCUGUA